UACGGAGGGUGCAAACGUUGCCCGGAAUCAUUGGGCGUAAAGCGCACGUAGGCGGCUCGUUAAGUCGGAUGUGAAAGCCCUGGGCUCAACCCAGGAAGUGCAUACGAAACUGGCGAGCUUGAGUAUGGAAGAGGGUCGCGGAAUUCCCGGUGUAGAGGUGAAAUUCGUAGAUAUCGGGAGGAACACCAGUGGCGAAGGCGGCGACCUGGGCCAAU
rnacentral:rRNA from 1 species